rnacentral:tRNA from 1 species
GGUUCUAUGGUGUAAUGGUUAGCACUCUGGACUCUGAAUCCAGCAAUUCGAGUUCAAAUUUUUGUAGGAUCU